GAUGAACGCUGGCGGCGUGCCUAAUACAUGCCAGUCGAGCGAACAGACGAGGAGCUUGCUCCUCUGACGUUAGCGGCGGACGGGUGAGUAACACGUGGAUAACCUACCUAUAAGACUGGGAUAACUUCGGGAAACCGGAGCUAAUACCGGAUAAUAUAUUGAACCGCAUGGUUCAAUAGUGAAAGCCGGUUUUGCUGUCACUUAUAGAUGGAUCCGCGCCGCAUUAGCUAGUUGGUAAGGUAACGGCUUACCAAGGCAACGAUGCGUAGCCGACCUGAGAGGGUGAUCGGCCACACUGGAACUGAGACACGGUCCAGACUCCUACGGGAGGCAGCAGUAGGGAAUCUUCCGCAAUGGGCGAAAGCUUGACGGAGCAACGCCGCGUGAGUGAUGAAGGUCUUCGGAUCGUAAAACUCUGUUAUUAGGGAAGAACAAAUGUGUAAGUAACUAUGCACGUCUUGACGGUACCUAAUCAGAAAGCCACGGCUAACUACGUG
rnacentral:rRNA from 1 species